UGUUCCUUAAACAGCCAUUGCACCUAGCCAUCAAAAACUGCGCCUCUCAGACUGGUAAACAUGGGCAUAUUAAUGAACGCGCUUCGGCUUUUUUCCCAAAUGUUAAGCCUCCCAUUGCAGUUACUGGAACUGGUAGGGAUAUACGGCGCAUAUAAGCGCAUCUUCCCGUUCUUCGUGUAUAAAAUGUCGGUUUCGUACAACAAGAAAAUGCAUGAGCAGAAAAAGGAACUGUUCCGAGACUUAGCGGAGUUCGCCAGGGAUGGCAGGGCGCUGCGGCUGCUGGAGAUCGGCUGUGGAAGUGGGAGCAACUUUCAGUACUACCCCCGCGGCUGCACGGUAGUGUGCACAGACCCGAACCCCCAUUUCAAGAAGUAUUUGCAGAAGAGUGUCGCCAGUAGCGAUCACCUGAAGUUUGAGAAGUUCGUGGUGGCCUCGGGCGAGGAUCUGGGGGAGGUAGAGGACGGCUCGGUGGACGUAGCGGUGUGCACACUGGUACUGUGCACGGUCAAGGACACGACACGAGUCUUGGUCGAAGUGCAUCGCGUAUUACGGCCUGGUGGUGCCCUGUUUUUCCUGGAGCACGUUGUGUCUGAUCCAUCCACCUGGACCUUCUUCAUGCAGCAUGUUCUCCAGCCUCUUUGGUAUUACUUUGAAGAUGGCUGUGAAGUUACAAGAGCCACAUGGAAGGACCUGGAAGCCUCCAGGUCACUUCUGGAGCUGAAUUCAAUGGUAACAUUUUUCCCACUUGCUUUAGGCAUAAAGAAGAAUUACAUGGCUCAAACUGGGGAAGUGCUAUAAGAAGCGCGCAUAACCAACGCAUUGAGACACUGUGGAGUGAUGUCUGGAAAGGAGUUACAAAUGUCUACCAUUCAUUGUUCGCAUAUCUGGAGAAUGAAGUCAUGUAUAAGUGUGGAGGAACAGACCAGAGGAACUUCGGCAGCCCUACUUUCUUGCAUCUGGAAAAUGUAAGCAGACCAUCAGUACUUACUACAUUGUGAUGGACAAGAAGCUCCUCCCCUGCCAAGGAACCACAUCAUUGGCAGCCUUUGAUGAACUUUUUAAGGUGCACUUUGUUUUCAAUUUAAGUUACGAUGAUGCUUUUUGCAACAUGAUCACAUUCCUCCAGACGACAGUCUAUGGCAUUGAUGUUGACACCACUAAAGAAAGUCCAAAGGUGAAAGAAUUGAGGGCCAAGUUCAUGAACACAAGCUGAGAGAAAGGCUGAGAGAAACAUGUGUGUCUGUCAUUUUUAGUGCAGUGCAUCCCAGCACUUGUGUAGCUAGGCAGCACUUUUUUUGCACAGGCUAUGUUUUGGCAAAAAUGAUUUUGGUUUUAGUCAUUAAAUUAAAUGUGUUGGCAAAUAGAAGAAAACCCAAUUACAUAGAAGCAGAGGCAAGGAGCCAAGUUCUUGAGUUAUGUACAGGUGUCAUAUUUUUAGACCUUUGUUUAAUGAACCAAGUGUUUUAAUUCAGCACCUUACAUUUUUUCAUGGGUUAUAUCCAGGCAAAAAAAAAUGUUCUUUGUGCUCAAGAAGAAUGUUCAUUGCAGUUUAAAAGUUUUGCUGGUUUUAGAAAGCAUUUAAAUAUUUUUUAUCAAACUCUUAACAUGGGCACAAGUUAUGAAGUUAAUAUUUUAAUGCCACAUCAGUCAGACUUCAGUGAACAGAGCUCACAAUAAGAAGCCUGCAACAUUGAGCCAGAUGAAGAAAGUCAACCUACAACAUCUGGCACUCAAAGUGGACAAAGUAUUUUAGUGAGAAAUGGGGUGUGGUUGAACCACUUGAAAUUGUCUUAGGUGUGAGAUAUGAUUCAAAGAGAAGCAAAAUAUCUGGAGUAUAUGAGCAGGUACCAGUGAAUGACACUUUCAUUUAUGUACCCCUUUUAAAAACAUUAGAGUUCAUUUUCAGGAAUAAAGAUUUGUGUUGUUACAUCAGUAAAACUGCUGCUUUUGGUGGCUUAUACAAGGAUUUCUGUGAUGGAAAGUACUAUAGUCUCCACCAGGGUUCCAUGCCUGUGGAGUUUGCAUGUUCUCCCUGUGCCGCUGUGGGGGUUUCCUCCACAGUCCAAAGACACGUCGAGCCUAAUUGGAGUUACCAAAUCACCCAUAUGUGUGCAUGUCCCCUGCAAUUGAUUGGUGUUCCAUCCUGAGGUUCCA